UUUCUCUUUUCUCCUUUUCUGCUCCUGCCUCCAAACCCUAGUGAAACUUCAUCUUCAUCUUCAAUAAUCGACAGCCAAGAAACAUCACAGAAAGCUCUCAAUCAUCUUCAGUCAUCGAAUUUUCUUCUCGUGUUUCAUUUCUUUUCUCUCUCUUUUAUCAUCGUUUUCUUGAUUUUAGGGUUUUUCAUCGUCUGUUAAUCUAGUUUUGGAUUUUGAUUUCAUAGAUAUGUACAAGUAUUUCAUCAUCUGUAGGGUUUUAGUUUUUUCGAUUUGUCAUGUAUGUUGAUUUGAAGAUGAUUUGGUAUCAUUGAAGGAAGAAGAAGAUAACUCAUCGACCCAAUUAGGUUUUUUACACCAUACAAAUCGAGAGAAAAAGGCUUCAAUAAAAAUCAUGGAUCGUCAAAAUUGGAGCUGUAGAAGCUUCAGGGGGAGGUGGUUAUGUAGGGGGUUGAGUAGAUUCUGAAGCAGAGGCUAUGAAGAUGAAUCUGACGAAUCAAAAUCAGAAAAGUGAAUGAUUAAGAUGAUGAAGAAGAUGAGAUUAGUGAGGUUUGUUCUUUGAAACCUUCAAGAGUAAUAUUUCAUUAUUCCUUUGAAGUCAUCUAGAAUUAUUAACAUUUGUUCUCUAGAUGUCCUGCUUAAGUUUGGGGCUUAUACAGCAGUGAGAGGAAUGGCGCGUAAGGAUUUUAUUCUCUUCUUUUGAUUUGGCAUCAGUUCUGUAGCUUUGACAUAUAUGUUUACGUGUGACUCCCUUAUCCACUUCGAAUUCUAUGAUUACCUUUAAAAAGAAGUGCUGCUGAAGAGGUUUUCCGUAACUAAUGUACGUGUCUACAUAUUUUAGGAUGGCUCUUUAGGAGAGGAAUGACCAGAACUUUAUUCAUUCGGUUCUCGGAUUUAUAUUGCUGUUUUGAAUGUUUAUGCUGCUUUGCGAGUAUUUCUUUCGCUGCUUCUUAAGUAUCCGGCUUCUUUCACUUUGUCAAAAAGAACUAAUUAGUCCUCCUUUCAGUUCUCCAAGAGGAUUUAUGAGGUUUUUUUUUCUUCCCGAUUGACCUUUUAGAUCAUAGUUGUACAAGAACUUCCAGGAAAGACUUGCUUGUGCAUGUUUAUUGAGACUGUUGUUUUUCAGAAGCGAUAUUUGUGCAUCAUGGCCUGUUCGAGAGGAUGAGUAACUAUUUGAGCGUGUUCUUGAUGCUCUUUUGCCCUUAGUUAUUUGAGGUACUUGUGCCAUUCCUUGAGCAUUUGGUUGUGGAAAGACAGUCAUCAGUCAAGCUCGUUCUAAGUACUCUAAUUCAGAGACUGGUUUACGUUGGUUGUGGAGAAAGAGGAAAUGAGAUGGCUGAUGUGUGUAUACUUUUGUACUUCCAAAUAUACCCAAGUUUGUAUUCAAGUUCUGUUGUAACAUUUUUAUUACUUAAUAAUUCAGGUUGUUAUGGAUUUCCCUCAUCUGACUAUGACAUUAGUUUGUGGCCAACUCUUGUAGCUAACACAUCUAACUUGCCUGUGGUUGCUCAAGAGUCCUCUAUUUUAUACAGGAGUCACAGUUGCUGAAUACUUCCGAGAUAUGGGUUCUUACAAAGUUAUUAUGAUGGAUGAUCUUACAUCUCGAUGGGUAGAGGCUUUACAUUAAACUUCAGACUCCCCUAAUGAAGCUCUUCGGAUGUAUGAUGAUGCUUGCCCCAUCCUUGAAGAACAUGAAAAGGAGAAAAUCGCAUUUGAUCUAUAUCGUGUUGUUGCCAGUGUUUAUAUACAUGUUUUGUGUCUGCAGAUGCAGUACUGCGUAGCUGCUUAUUUCUUGAAAGAGAGAGCUCCUGCAAGAGAAGUGUCCAUGGAUUGAAGAUGCGUAGCUGCUGUCUCUUUGGAUUCCAUUCGCUUCACUGAUUCUGUUUCAAAUGCAGCAGUCUGCGGCAUGAGAAGCCUGUUAUGUGAGUCAUGUUUCUGUGCAUGUUAGUCUGCGACAUGAGAAAAUUUAGAAAUAGGUUAGGAACCUAGGAAGUUUUUUAAGUUUCUGUGAGCUGCAUUUUGGAACUUGGUGAGUUUCUAUGUAUUCCCCUUAGAAAUUUGAUACUUGACAAAAAAAAAAAAUUGGUACUUCGAAAAAUUUCAGUUCUUUUUUGAUAUGAGUUGAUUGAAGAUAUUAUUAUUGAAUAUGAAUGACGAAGGAUUGAAAGGUGUAUCCAGGAUGUUUGGGAUUCCGUGUUAUUUCCGGCAGAAAAUGA